CAGUAAGGAAUAUUGGUCAAUGGACGCAAGUCUGAACCAGCCAUGCCGCGUGAAGGAUUAAGGUCCUCUGGAUUGUAAACUUCUUUUAUAGGGGGCGAAACACUUUAUAUCUAUAGAGCUUGACGGUACCCUAUGAAUAAGCACCGGCUAACUCCGUGCCAGCAGCCGCGGUAAUACGGAGGGUGCAAGCGUUAUCCGGAUUUACUGGGUUUAAAGGGUGCGUAGGCGGACUUGUAAGUCUGAGGUGAAAUCUCCGAGCUUAACUCGGAAACUGCCUUGGAUACUAUAGGUCUUGAAUGUCGUUGAGGUCAGCGGAAUAUGUCAUGUAGCGGUGAAAUGCUUAGAUAUGACAUAGAACACCUAUUGCGAAGGCAGCUGGCUAAGCGAAAAUUGACGCUGAUGCACGAAAGCGUGGGGAUCAAACAGGAUUAGA
rnacentral:rRNA from 1 species